rnacentral:rRNA from 1 species
AAAUAGUACUUUGCAGAGAGAGUUAACAGGGCGUGAAACCGUUAAUUGGCAAACGAAUCGGAGCCACGAAGUCGUUUCGUUGAGCUGGGUUGAGUUCAGCCUAGAACCCCUGGUUCUAGGUGUAUUCUUGGCUCGGCCAUUGUAAGCGUACACUGCAACCAGUUAGACGAUUGAGGAUGGGCCCAGUCGGAUGGAGGCUCGCUUCCGUUCGACGCAGCAUUUAUUUGCUCAAGUUAGUAGUAGUGUGGUACGCCUCGGUGUAUUCGUAUUGCUGGGCUUGUGGCAAGUGAGCUAUCUUCAAAUACUGACUGGCAAAAUGAAAAUCGCGAAAGCGUUUUACAAAAAGCGACCAGGCAUAUGGAUAUCUACGCAGCUGACCAUGGGGUCCUAAGCUCGGCAUUUUCGAAUUUAGGCUUGCUUGCUACCAAUGGGGCAACUCUUGGUGCUUGUACAGUUUCUAUCUAAUCAGGUGUUGACUUGAUUCUGUGUCGUUCAGUUGUGCUAUGGUAGGGUGUUUAUAUGACUUGGUUUGCAAUUAUUGGCAGUGAGUAGGUCGGCUUUCCGAACGACCCGUCUUGAAACACGGACCAAGGAGUCUAAUUAGGCAUCAAGUCGAUCGGUCUUGAAUAGGCCAGACUUGGGGUCUUGUACCCCAGAUAGAAGGCGUAGAGAAAUCAAAUCAUGUGAUCGCUGGGGCAAUUCCAGUCCUUGCGCGCAACAUGUGCCUGUUCGUAUAGCAAUGUUAGCAAUAACUUGCUGGGCGGAGCAAAGAGAUGUCUGAUUGGUACCCGAAAGAUGGUGAACUAUGCCUGGGCAAGUUGAAGCCAGAGGAAACUCUGGUGGAGGACUGUAGCGAUUCUGACGUGCAAAUCGAUCGUCAGACCUGGGUAUAGGGGCGAAAGACUAAUCGAACCAUC